GAUGAACGCUGGCGGCGUGCCUAAUACAUGCAAGUCGAGCGAACAGACGAGGCGCUUGCUCCUCUGACGUUAGCGGCGGACGGGUGAGUAACACGUGGAUAACCUACCUAUAAGACUGGGAUAACUUCGGGAAACCGGAGCUAAUACCGGAUAAUAUAUUGAACCGCAUGGUUCAAUAGUGAAAGACGGUUUUGCUGUCACUUAUAGAUGGAUCCGCGCCGCAUUAGCUAGUUGGUAAGGUAACGGCUUACCAAGGCAACGAUGCCUAGCCGACCUGAGAGGGUGAUCGGCCACACUGGAACUGAGGCACGGUCCAGACUCCUACGGGAGGCAGCAGUAGGGAAUCUUCCGCAAUGGGCGAAAGCCUGACGGAGCAACGCCGCGUGAGUGAUGAAGGUCUUCGGAUCGUAAAACUCUGUUAUGAGGGAAGAACAAAUGUGUAAGUAACUAUGCACGUCUUGACGGUACCUAAUCAGAAAGCCACGGCUAACUACGUG
rnacentral:rRNA from 1 species